CUGAUUUUCUCUCUUCCCCAAAAAUAUCACUUUUUCUCUGCUUCAUUGUGAAAUCCUGCUACGACUACCAAACCCACACGCAAAACCUCUCUCUUUUCUUUCUUCACUUCUUCAACCUUCUAAAUCCGCAUCAAUAACUCCAUUUCUCUGAAAAAUUUGAACACUGGUUGCAAUUGAACAUUGCAAGACCGUUUGAAGAAGUGAAGAACAUCAAUGACACCAAGGAACUAGGCAAGAUUGUAGUGAGAGUACAUCACAAUCUGAUUGAUAAACAAGCAUGAUUGUUAUGUUUGCACUGAUAAUAGGGAAGGCAUUGAUGUGUAUCAUCGGCAGUGUAUCUCCUGUUGUUGUUGUUCUUUCUAGAAGUAUGGAACCGAGAUUCAAGCGGGGGGACAUUUUGUUCUUACACAUGAGUAAGGAACCAAUUCGCAUAGGGGAGAUUGUUGUAUUUAAUGUAGAUU